rnacentral:rRNA from 1 species
UACGUAGGGGGCUAGCGUUGUCCGGAAUCAUUGGGCGUAAAGAGCGUGUAGGCGGUCCGGUAAGUCCGCUGUGAAAGUCGGGGGCUCAACCCUCGAAUGCCGGUGGAAACUGCCGGGCUAGAGUCCGGAAGAGGCGAGUGGAAUUCCUGGUGUAGCGGUGAAAUGCGCAGAUAUCAGGAGGAACACCGAUGGCGAAGGCAGCUCGCUGGGACGGUACUGACGCUGAGGCGCGAAAGCGUGGGGAGCAAACAGG